UGGUUCUGGCAUCGAUGAAGAACGCAGCGAAAUGCGAUAAGUAAUGCGAAUUGCAGAAUUCAGCGAGUCAUCGAAUCUUUGAACGCACAUUGCGCCCACUGGCAUUCUAGUGGGCAUGCCUGUCCGAGCGUCAUUUCCCCCCUCAGGCACCAUGCUGCCUGGCGUUGGGGCCUCUACGCCCCCCCGCGGCGUAGGCCCUCAAGACCAGUGGCGGGCUGCCGGCCGUUAAAGCCCUUCUCAGGAAGACAACACAAAGGUUGACCUCGGAUCAGGUAGGAAUACCCGCUGA
rnacentral:misc_RNA from 1 species